GGAGGGCGCAAGCGUUGUUCGGAAUCAUUGGGCGUAAAGCGCGUGUAGGCGGUUUGGCAAGUCGGGCGUGAAAGCCCGGGGCUCAACCCCGGAACUGCGCUCGAUACUGUCUCGCUAGAGUCCCGGAGAGGAAGGCGGAAUUCCCGGUGUAGAGGUGAAAUUCGUAGAUAUCGGGAGGAACACCAGCGGCGAAGGCGGCCUUCUGGACGGUGACUGACGCUGAGACGCGAAAGCGUGGGGAGCAAACAGGAUUAGAUACCCUGGUAGUCCACGCUGUAAACGUUGGGUGCUAGGUGUCGCGGGUAUUGACCCCCCUGCGGUGCCGUCGCUAACGCAUUAAGCACCCCGCCUGGGGAGUACGGUCGCAAGGCUA
rnacentral:rRNA from 1 species